rnacentral:ncRNA from 1 species
AUUCUCAGGGCGGGGUGAAAGUCCCCACCGGCGGUAAUGGGCAUGCCGUGCUGACGACAUGCCACAAGCCCGCGAGCGCCUUGCCGGGCAAGGGCAGCUGAUUCGGUGCGAUUCCGAAGCCGACGGUUACAGUCCGGAUGAAAGAGAAC